rnacentral:lncRNA from 1 species
UUUGGUCGUUGUAUACAAAGAGCUCGAAAUUUGAAAAUUAUUCCUUUUGAUCCAGAAAUCAAAAAGGCUUUUUGAAGAUUUCGGAGGAAAAAUAAAAAAGUUUCUACCCUAGGUAAAACAAUGGUUGAUUAAUAAAGGGAAGAGACCAAGUCUUUAAGGGAUUAUGUUGUCCCACGAGUACAAAGUCUCCACUCUAGUUUUUGAAGACCUCCUAUUCAAGCCAACAACUUUGAAA